rnacentral:misc_RNA from 1 species
CCGAGUACCGGGUCCUCUGGGCCCUUACUCCCACCCUUUGUGUAUCUUACCUUUAUUUCUUGUUGCCUUGGUGGGUCUUCAGGGGGAGACCUCUGAGGGGGCCUUCACGGCCCCGCCCGCCAGGGGGACAGCCCUUAAACUCUUUGUUAACUGGGUCGUCUGAGAAAACAAAACAAAUGAAUUA